ACUCUUUCUUGCUGUAUUCUGUGAUGUGACUUCUUCACACAGUGGGAGAAAAGCAAAGCAGUGUUUGAGUAAAUGAGCAGAGUAAUGAGAAGAAGAUUUGUAUGAGCGUCAAUUUUUAAUGGCUGCAUUGCAGUACUGCACCAUAACUCCCUGUUCUGAAAACAAGAAACUUUCUUUUGACACAGCAAGCUUAAGUUUCCUUUGGUAUACUUGCAAUGGACUGCCAUGGAUGAAGAGCAUUACCUAUCCCUCCCAGUUUGGUGUCAUCUGCAAACUUGAUGAUCAUGCCUUCUAACCCUUCAUCUAAGUCAUUAAUAAAGAUGUUGAACAGAACCGGGCCCAGGAUGGAACCCUGUGGCACUCCACCCGUCACUUCUUUUCAGGAUGACGAAGACGCAUUGGUAACAAAACAUCUCGGGUCCUCCACAGACUUCAGUCCAUAUACAGUGGAAUUUAUUUUUGAAUGGCUAUCAAUUCCAUAGUUCCUUUAUGGCAAAGCCUUUGGUGACAUGGGACCCAAAAGAAGAGAAUUAAAAAAAAAUAAACUUGAUCAAUGCUAAA